rnacentral:sRNA from 1 species
GCCAGGUGCCAUGGCACAUGCCUGUAAUCCCAGUGACUAGGAGGCUGAGAUAGGAGGAUCACAAGUUUGAGGCUAGCCUUAACCACUUAGUGAGACCCUGUCUCAA